GUUUAGUUGUGAAACAACGACAUAAUACCUCUACAUAUUUUAUGCCAUGAAAAGAUGUAUUCGAACAGGAGGAAGAAGAAAUUGUGUGUUUUGUUGUUAUUGUACUAUACAUAUAGUAGAAACAAUCACAGCGAAAGCGAAUUAGUAAAUUGCAUUUACGGGGGGCGUCUGAAAAGUUCCAAGCCUUAGGUAUUUCGAGGUUAGGUAUUCGCUAAGUGCACGACUGUCACGCAACCUAGUGGCCGCAAGUCUAGGGGAAAACGUCAAUUCACUACAUCUUAUAAAACUACUCCGAAACUAAAAACUACUGAACGGAUUUUCAUACGACUUUCAUCUAUCAAUAGAGUGAUUCUUGAGGAAGGCUUAAGUAUAUAACUUGUUAAGGUUUUGUGUAAAUUGUUUGAAAUAUAACGACGUUGUCGGAAAAAAUCGACACGACGACACGCUGGCUAGGAGCUUUAAUCGAAAACGCUGCCUAAUCCGUUUGAGCUAUAACAACACAAUGUAUGGUGGGGUUGUUUCUCAUUCAUAGGUCUACAAAAAAGUCCGCGAUGUUAAAUGCCUAUCUUUUAAGGAUAACUUACUAUACAUAUUCGUAACUUCUAGAAAAAGAUCACAUAAUAUGUGGCAUUUGCAAAGCUAUUUACAUGGAUACAUUAUUAACAAUUAUCAAAAUAAAUAAGUACGUUAGUUAUAUUAAGCAUUUCAUAUAGAUUACAAUGGUCCCUUACACCAUACAAUUUAAAUUAAUAUUUCAGGAGAAAUCGUAAACCAAAGUUUCAUUUCGAGCCAUAUAAUUGUACUAAAUGUUAAAGACGCUAUCCGCAGUUAGUUCUAAUUUUUACCACCUUAUGCGCUGGGAUCGCUUUACUUACCCCCACCAUGCACUUCGCACGGUCCCACAAUAUACGUUUAUGAUACUGGCCACUAGAAAGGCCAUUUAAAAACAAAUUAUAAAAAAAAACAUGUUACAUUUUUAUUAUUCUGUUUCGAGAUAUUCAACGGAAAAGUACAUCAUGUAAUGUGUCAUGUAUUAUGUCUAGAUCUAGAGCAGAGCCCAACUGAGGAAGUACCUCCACCUUAAAGAAAACCGCAGCCAAAUAACACUAGACCCUACUCAUAGUGUUGUGUUCCUGCCGGUGAGUAAGGUUGCCAGAGCUCAAUGAAGGGAGGGAGGGGUGUUAGGGUCGGCAACGCGCAUGUAUCUUCUCUGGAGUUGCAGGCAUACAUAGGCAACGGACACUGCUGACCAUCAGGCGGGCCGUAUGCUUGUUUGCCACCAACGUAGUAUAAAAAUCAUGUGUGAAUUACCAACGAAUAUUACAAAAAUUGAGCACCGUGCUGUAAUUAAGUUCCUAACAAAAAGUGAAAAAUCACCGCAGUGUAUUUUUGAGGAAAUGACAUUAUUUACGGUGCUUCUGGGCCUUCUUAUGCCACGGUCAAAAAGUGGAGUCGCUUAUUUAAACUCGGACGGGACUCGAUCGAAGACGACCCCGCUCAGGGCGGUCAAUAUCGAUAGUGACCGGAGAAAACGUAGCAAAAGUCAAAAAGCUGGUAUUAGAAGAUAGAAUACAGGAACAUUUGUACAUGAGUAAAUUCUGUGCUCGUUGGGUACCGAAAAUGCUGACGGCCUUCGAUAUAGAACGUAGAGUUGAAACUUCAAGGGCGUUUUUAGAAUUGUGCGAAGAUGAUUUAGAUGGAAGUUUGUUCCCGAAUAGUAACUGAUGAUGAAACAUGGAUCAGACAGGAUGAUCCGAAGUGUAAGUCUGAAUCGAUGCAGUGGAUUGAAAAGGGUGAAAGGCCGCCGAAGAAAUUUAAAGUGCAAAAGUCGGCCUCUAAGUUAAUGGCUACGGCGUUUUGGGACUGUGAUGGCAUGCUUUUAAUCGAUUAUUUAGAAAAAGGCUCUACGAUAAACGGAACUUAUUAUGCAAAUCUAAUAAGACAGGUGCGAGAAGCCAUAGUUGAGAAAAGGCGGGGUAAACUAAGCAAAGGCAUUUUGUUUUUCCAAGACACAGACAGUGAACGGGUGCGUGUUCACACCGCUAAUGUUGCGAGGCAUGCUCUGAGGGUUUUGACGAAAUUGACCACCCAACCUACAGCCUAGAUCUAGCCCCAAGCGAUUAUUUUCUAUUCAAUAAUUUAAAGAAAGCAUUGAGGGGAAAGCGAUUUAGAAGUGACGAAGAGGUGAUGGCGGCUGUACAGGAGCAUUUUGAAAGGCAAGAUAAUAAAUAUUGUUUAAUGGCCUAAAAGCAUUGUAUAAAACAUGCAUCGAGUUAUAAGGAAAUUAUAUUGAAAAAUAAACUUUUCAGGCGCCCCUCGUAUACGAUAUUGGUCGCAAGCAAAUAGUACAAAGUGUACAAACAUAGGAUUGUUUAUUAUACAAACCCAUGAAAACAAAUGCAACAGCCAAUUAGUAGUAACUUUGUCAUGUUAUUUAAAUCUACGUGACGUGAGACGCAGCGAAAGCACUGUCUCUAAUCACUAAAUUGAUUUUGUUCGUGUGACUCCGCACCUAUCAAGACGGAAUCGGCAAUUCGAAAACGAAAUCGAUUCGAUAAUCGGCACUGCUGUGUCGUAACUUAAGCAAUUUCAUUUCGCUCAGCAUGCGCCGACACUGGUAGAAAGUGACGUCUUUUUAAACUAUGCGAGGCUGGCAUGCUGAUUCAGUGGUGUUACUUCAAUCACUUAGCAACCGCAGGUAAGUCGAACGCUCAGGAAAACCAGGAUUGGCUUUGUUUGUGUGACAUGCUAAAAGCGACGACAACGACGGCAGAAAAAUGUGUACUUGUGAAACUACAUUUUCAUUCUAUUAACGUAUGCGAAAUGAAAUCUGGACAAAAUUAAAUAAAAACAACAUGGUUAUUU